UUUUACAGGCAAAAGGGGCCACUACUUUCAGGUAGCCGUUACUUUCGGAUAGCCGUUAUUUUUGGGUAGGUAAAAAACGUUUGUAACUCAAAGUGGUCUUAGAAAAAGAGGACAUGUAUUAUGAAAUUUAAAAGUCAUUCCAUUUGCGCAUAUUCCUAUAAUAAGGGAAUAACAUGACUUUCUGA